rnacentral:rRNA from 1 species
CCUACGGGAGGCAGCAGUGAGGAAUAUUGGUCAAUGGACGCAAGUCUGAACCAGCCAUGCCGCGUGCAGGAAGACGGCUCUAUGAGUUGUAAACUGCUUUUGUACGAGGGUAAACGCAGAUACGCGUAUCUGUCUGAAAGUAUCGUACGAAUAAGGAUCGGCUAACUCCGUGCCAGCAGCCGCGGUAAUACGGAGGAUUCAAGCGUUAUCCGGAUUUAUUGGGUUUAAAGGGUGCGUAGGCGGUCGGGUAAGUUAGAGGUGAAAUCCCGAGGCUCAACUUCGGAAUUGCCUCUGAUACUGUUAGGCUAGAGAGUAGUUGCGGUAGGCGGAAUGUAUGGUGUAGCGGUGAAAUGCUUAGAGAUCAUACAGAACACCGAUUGCGAAGGCAGCUUACCAAGCUACUUCUGACGCUGAGGCACGAAAGUGUGGGGAGCAAACAGGAUUAGAUACCCCAGUAGUC